rnacentral:lncRNA from 1 species
AUUGAUCUCAACAUUGAACCAAAUUUGGGGGCCGCGAGUCCACCCUGUCUUUGCAGGGGUUCUUAACAAGGGACAGCUAGGGGGGCGAGGUACCUGGCACAUUCCUGGAACAGUGCAAAUUGGCAUCCGCCUGAAGUAAGGGGAAAAAUAACUAGAGAAAGAAUCAGAUUGUAAAUGAUGGGAAUGGGAGAUGUUAGAUCACAGGAAGCUUUUUGGCUUUUUUAAGAACAUAGACUUUACUUUGAAUGAAAUAACCAUUGCAGGGCUUUGAGCGGAGGAUGGGCAUGGUUUACUUUUGUUUAUUUAGUUUACAGUAGCUGAAUUGAGAUAUAAUUCACAUGCCAUAAAAUGUAUUAUUUUCAAUGCCUACAAUUCAGCGGCUUUUAGUAUAUUCAUAAAAAUAUGGAAUGUCCCAUGAAUUUCCAUGUCAUGUUUACACAGGGGCCAGGUUCCUCUUCUCUGUAUGUUCCAGUUUUAGCAGAUGUGCUGCUGAAGUGAGCACCUGAGGCUGGCUUGCGUGGGGACCCUCUCGCUGCUGCGGAAGGAGCCAGGCUCUGGAGCAGGGGAGCUGGCGGGUGCGCGUGGGAAUCCAGUGACAGAGGACGGUGUUUCCAGCUGCAAUGAAAAUCUAAACUUCUCCGUGCUACUCUCCUCACCUUCCUGUAGGGCAGCGGUGUUGAAGCGCUUUACCUCGUCAUCUCCGUUAAACCUGACCACACUCUCACGUGCUCCUGCAAUCAUAACAAAGAAGCCUAUUAGUGCCUGUGAACUUCAGCAUUACUUCCCAGUCACCAACAGCUUAUUUGGGUUGCAUCUUAUCUCCUCUGAAGACUAUUGGGAUCUUCAAAUACCAGUUCCUUUUUCCUAAUCAAAACCAGAAGUCGGUGUUCCAAGUAUCUGCUAAUGAAGAGAAAAUCAGGGCAUCAUUUCUAAUUGUUUUCAGUCCUGUGACUACAAUCAAGUACAUGCAGAUUUUACCAACUCUUCCACAAUCUUAAGGUUCCUGAUUUUUUUUUUUUACUUUUUUCUUUAUAUCCCAGGAAGCCGACCCCCUGAGGAUAGUCCUAGACAUGGAAUGAAGACAGAUAACUGGGAUACUUAGAGCAGCAUAGACUGGGUGAUUCCAGGGAAACCCAUUCAUCCUGUUCUCUGAUCCUUGCUGUGAUAAGCUUUAGCAAUGUGGCUUAGGUAACUGCUGUCAGAGAAGGCUACCAAGGCUAUUAGAAACAUCAACAUAUCCUAAGGAUCUUCUCUGCUGAUCUAUUCCAGAAACUGGAAUACUCUCAAUCAAUUCUCUUUCCCUUGCUUCCCACGUGCAUAAAGGCUGUCCCGAUCCAUUUCUCCCCAUUUCUCCUCUAUGUCUUUCAAAUCUGCCAACUUUCCUUCAUCUUGUCUACAGCUACCUUAGUUUGGACUGUUACUAUCUAUAACUUAGGUGAUGGGUUUCCUCACACCUAACCCAUGACUCUCUCCAAAACUUUCAUCACUCCACAACCCGAGCAUCUAUCCAAAAUGCAGUGUUGUUCGUGACACUCCUCCCCCUCACUUACCACCUAUGAUGACCUACUAUGAAUUUUAGAGGGUAACAAAUCCUUAACUUCUGGCUCCUGUUUACCUUUAUCCUCAUCUGGUAUUACUGCUCUGCUCACCUCCUACACUACAGCAGCACUGGUCCUCUCAGUGCCCAGGGCACCCCAUGCCCGCAUCCACUAUGGGGCCAUUCUUCCCUCCGCAGUUACCAUCCUAACAUUACUUCCUAGUUAUUGCCUAUAGUCCUGCAGACUUUAGGACACACAUAUAGCCAUGAAACUUUCUCCUGUCUUGGUAGGUUUCCUUCAUUACUAUGCAAUUUCAGGUGACACUCAUGUUUUUGCCUUCAAAACAUUUCUCUCAGUUCAUGAUACAGCAUUGAAAGCAAAUAUGUGGUUAAUGUCAGUCUCCUCCAGACUGUGUUCCUCAUGAAAGCAGGACAUAAGUCUGGCCCAACUGGUGGGAAUUUCUCUUUUUUAUGACUUUGUGUAAAGUCAUAUACAGUUGUUUUUAAAACACUUCUUGACAAAAUGAAUAGGAGCGUCUGCAACAAAAACAUCUCCUAAACAAGCCAGAAUGAUUUUUACAUGUCUUCUUAGAGAGUAUCUAACCCAGUGUGUUAUUGGUCAGUUUAGGCUGCCAUAACCUGGGUGAGUUAAGCAACAUAAAUUUAUUUAUCAGGCUGGGCAUGGUGGCUCACGCCUGUAAUGCCAGCCCUUUGGGAGGCUGAGGUGGGCAGAUCUUCUGAGGUCAGGAGUUCCAGACCAGCCUGGCCAACAUGGUGAAACUCCGUCUCUACUAAAAACACAAAAAUU